CCCUGUAAUAGCUAGGCUAUAAAAAGACCUUUCAGUGCUCCUUCUCACAGUAUCUUGCAGGCACUUUUGUCACAGAAUGAGGUACCCCUUUGAAGCAUUUAUUUGGGAGAUUUCCAAUCUUAAACGAAGUAACAGCAUGGAGUUUGUUCCACUACGAUUCCACAAAUUUUCUAAGCCGUCACAGAUGACAGCGGGAGGAAAGGACGGUUGUGAGACUCUUCUCCCAGUAGCUGCCUAUAGGAGAGACAAGAUGAAGCUGGCUGCCCUGACAUGGGAAUUUUGGGGGUUUCCUGUGGCCCUUUAAAUAUUUCAGGGAUGGGGUCUGAUGGGGCUUUCACUAAAUGGGCACUGUCUGUUGACUGUUCAGUGUACCAUUACAUAUUUAUCAUAUCUACUCUGACAUUGGCUGUUUCUAAAUCUCAUUAUUUUACUUGAUAACUAAACUCAAUGUAGGUCUCAAUGGAAAUGCAUGUUUUGAAUACAUGUCACAGAUGUAAAGUCUAAACAGAAUAAAACCUGAUAUACUGCG